rnacentral:rRNA from 1 species
AUUGAACGCUGGCGGCAGGCCUAACACAUGCAAGUCGAACGAGAGGCGGACGUGUGAGUAAUGUCUGGGAAACUGACUGAUGGAGGGGGAUAACUAAUGGACACGGUAGCUAAUACCGCAUACCAUCAGAUGUGCCCAGAUGGGAUUAGCUUGUUGGAGGGGUAACGGCUCACCAAGGCGACGAUCCCUAGCUGGUCUGAGAGGAUGACCAGCCACACUGGAACUGAGACACGGUCCAGACUCCUACGGGAGGCAGCAGUGGGGAAUAUUGCACAAUGGGCGAAAGCCUGAUGCAGCCAUGCCGCGUGUAUGAAGAAGGCCUUCGGGUUGUAAAGUACUUUCAGCGGGGAGGCGUUACCCGCAGAAGAAGCACCGGCUAACUCCGUGCCAGCAGCCGCGGUAAUUC